CCUACGGGAGGCAGCAGUGAGGAAUAUUGGUCAAUGGACGAGAGUCUGAACCAGCCAAGUAGCGUGAAGGAUGACUGCCCUAUGGGUUGUAAACUUCUUUUAUAUGGGAAUAAAAUGUUCCACGUGUGGGAUUUUGUAUGUACCAUAUGAAUAAGGAUCGGCUAACACCGUGCCAGCAGCCGCGGUAAUACGGAGGAUCCGAGCGUUAUCCGGAUUUAUUGGGUUUAAAGGGAGCGUAGGUGGAUUGUUAAGUCAGUUGUGAAAGUUUGCGGCUCAACCGUAAAAUUGCAGUUGAAACUGGCAGUCUUGAGUACAGUAGAGGUGGGCGGAAUGCGUGGUGUAGCGGUGAAAUGCUUAGAUAUCACGAAGAACUCCGAUUGCGAAGGCAGUUCACUGGACUGCAACUGACGCUGAGGCUCGAAAGUGCGGGUAUCAAACAGGAUUAGAUACCCGUGUAGUC
rnacentral:rRNA from 1 species